CCCAGGUGAAAUAAACAGCCAUGUUGCUCACACAAAGCCUGUUUGGUGGUCUCUUCACACGGACGCACAUGAAAUUUGGUGCCGUGACUCAGAUCGGGGGACCUCCCUUGGGAGAUCAAUCCCCUGUCCUCCUGCUCUUUGCGAAAGAUCCACCUACGACCUCAGGUCCUCGGACCGACCAGCCCAAGAAACAUCUCACCAAUUUCAAAUCCGUGCUGCUUGACCCCAAUACAAACUCGACAGUAGUUCCAAAUAGCCGGAAAAUGGCACUUUCAAUUUUUCCAUCCUACAAGAUCUAAAUAAUUCUUGUCGUACAAUGGGCAAAUGGUCUGAGGUGCCUGACAUCCAGGCAUUCUUUUACACAUCGGUCCCUCUCUAGUCUCUGUUCCCAAUGCAACUCGUCCCAAAUCUUCCUCCUUUCCCUCCCGCCUGUCCCCUCAGUCCCAACCCCAAGCGUCGCUGAGUCUUUCUAAUCUUCCUUUUCUACAGACUCAUCUGACCUCUCCCCUCCUCCCCAGGCUGCUCCUCGCCAGGCCGAGCUAGGUCCCAAUUCUUUCUCAGCCUCCGCUCCUCCACCCUAUAAUCCUUUUAUCACCUCCCCUCCUCACACACAGUCUGGCUUACAGUUUCGUUCCGUGACUAGCCCUCCCCACCUGCCCAGCAAUUUACUCUUAAAAAGGUGGCUGGAGCUAAAGGCAUAGUCAAGGUUAAUGCUCCUUUUUCUUUAUCCCAAAUCGGAUAGCGUUUAGGCUCUUUUUCAUCAAAUAUAAAAAUCCAGCCCAGUUCAUGGCUCGUUUGGCAGCAACCCUGAGACGCUUUACAGCCCUAGACCCUAAAAGUUCAAAAGGCCGUCUUAUUCUCAAAAUACACUUUAUUACCCAAUCUG
rnacentral:lncRNA from 1 species